rnacentral:rRNA from 1 species
AUGGCCUCCCAACAAGGGCCACCAUCACCGUCGCCGGCACCAGUGGCCACCACCACCGCCAUUACUGCUAUCGGCGACGACGUCCUCUGUGAGAUCUUCCUCCGCCUCCCAUCCCUCCCUAGCCUCGUCCGCGCAGCCCUCGCCUGCCGCGCCUUCCUCCACGCCGUCCGAUCGUCUCCCGCCUUCCGCCGCCGCUUCCGGGCGGUCCACCCGCCCCAAAUCCUAGGAUUCUUCAACGCAGGCAUUCAUUACCUUAUUCCCCUCGACGGCCGCUACCUAGCCGCGGCCGUCGACGGCAGCGAUUUCCGCUUCAUCCGGCUCCCGAAAGACAGAGACGAGACCAGGUGGAAGAUCCUCAAUGGCUGCCGCGACACCGCUGCGGCUAUGUCUUCCUCUGCAACAAGAACACCAACCAGAUAG